GACGAACCGUGCGAACGUUGUUCGGAAUCACUGGGCUUAAAGGGCGCGUAGGCGGGCUGUCAAGUCUGGGGUGAAAUCCCGCGGCUCAACCGUGGAACUGCCUUAGAUACUGUCGGCCUCGAGGAAGGUAGGGGCAUGCGGAACUGUAGGUGGAGCGGUGAAAUGCGUUGAUAUCUACAGGAACUCCGGUGGCGAAAGCGGCGUGCUGGACCUUUUCUGACGCUGAGGAGCGAAAGCGUGGGGAGCGAACAGG
rnacentral:rRNA from 1 species